rnacentral:rRNA from 1 species
GAAACCAACAGGGAUUGCCCUAGUAACGGCGAGUGAAGCGGCAACAGCUCAAAUUUGAAAUCUGGCGUAAGCCCGAGUUGUAAUUUGUAGAGGAUGCUUCUGGGUAGCGGCCGGUCUAAGUUCCUUGGAACAGGACGUCAUAGAGGGUGAGAAUCCCGUAUGUGACUGGCUUGCACCCUCCACGUAGCUCCUUCGACGAGUCGAGUUGUUUGGGAAUGCAGCUCUAAAUGGGAGGUAAAUUUCUUCUAAAGCUAAAUACCGGCCAGAGACCGAUAGCGCACAAGUAGAGUGAUCGAAAGAUGAAAAGCACUUUGGAAAGAGAGUUAAAAAGCACGUGAAAUUGUUGAAAGGGAAGCGCCCGCAACCAGACUUUGCGGCGGUGUUCGGCUGGUCUUCUGACCGGUUUACUCGCCGCCGUGAGGCCAUCAUCGUCUGGGACCGCUGGAUAAGACCUGAGGAAUGUAGCUCCCUUCGGGGUGUGUUAUAGCCUCUGGUGAUGCAGCGCGUCUCGGGCGAGGUCCGCGCUUCGGCAAGGAUGAUGGCGUAAUGGUUGUCGGCGGCCCGUCUUGAAACACGGACCAAGGAGUCUAACAUCUAUGCGAGUGUUCGGGUGUCAAACCCCUACGCGUAAUGAAAGUGAACGGAGGUGGGAACUUUUUGUGCACCAUCGACCGAUCCUGAUGUCCUCGGAUGGAUUUGAGUAAGAGCAUAGCUGUUGGGACCCGAAAGAUGGUGAACUAUGCCUGAAUAGGGUGAAGCCAGAGGAAACUCUGGUGGAGGCUCGCAGCGGUUCUGACGUGCAAAUCGAUCGUCAAAUUUGGGUAUAGGGGCGAAAGACUAAUCGAACCAU